rnacentral:rRNA from 1 species
UGGCCUAACACAUGCAAGUCGAGGGGUAGAGGAAGCUUGCUUCCUUGAGACCGGCGCACGGGUGCGUAACGCGUAUGCAAUCUACCUUAUACAGGGGGAUAGCCCAGAGAAAUUUGGAUUAAUACCCCAUAGUAUUACGGAAAGGCAUCUUUUUGUAAUUAAAGUUCCAACGGUAUAAGAUGAGCAUGCGUCCCAUUAGCUAGUUGGUGUGGUAACGGCACACCAAGGCAACGAUGGGUAGGGGUCCUGAGAGGGAGAUCCCCCACACUGGUACUGAGACACGGACCAGACUCCUACGGGAGGCAGCAGUGAGGAAUAUUGGUCAAUGGGCGCAAGCCUGAAAGAGCCAUGCCGCGUGCAGGAUGACGGUCC